rnacentral:rRNA from 1 species
AACGCGAAGAACCUUACCCAGGCUCGAAAUGUAAUGGACAAUACCAGAGAUGGUAUGUUCCGCAAGGACUGUUAUAUAGGUGCUGCAUGGCUGUCGUCAGCUCGUGCCGUGAGGUGUUGGGUUAAGUCCCGCAACGAGCGCAACCCUUAUCAUUAGUUGCCAACACGUAAGGUGGGGACUCUAAUGAGACUGCCUGGGUUAACCAGGAGGAAGGUGAGGAUGAUGUCAAGUCCGCAUGGCCUUUAUGUCUGGGGCUACACACGUGCUACAAUGGUCGGUACAGAAGGCAGCAAGACCGCAAGGUGGAGCAAAUCCGAAAAGCCGAUCUCAGUUCAGAUUGUAGUCUGCAACUCGACUACAUGAAGUUGGAAUUGCUAGUAAUGACGUGUCAGCAACAACGUCGUGAAUACGUUCCCGGGCCUUGUA